rnacentral:lncRNA from 1 species
UCAUCAUUUUCAACCAGCUUUCAACUAUCCAUUCGGAAGCCUAUUCUGUUAAUUUUGUUGCUUGAUCCACUCAAUUUCAACACAUUUUCUGCAACAGAUCAUGACUCCAAAACUGUAACCAUCUACCUUUUACUGUAACCGGCGGUGUUUUUGAACCACUCUGCUGCCGCAUAUAUGCCCUUUAGUCUAAUAGCAGAUCUAAGAUUUUUUCGGAUAAAUUUAUC